AUUGAACGCUGGCGGCAGGCCUAACACAUGCAAGUCGAACGGUAACAGGAAUCAGCUUGCUGAUUCGCUGACGAGUGGCGGACGGGUGAGUAAUGUCUGGGAAACUGCCUGAUGGAGGGGGAUAACUACUGGAAACGGUAGCUAAUACCGCAUAACGUCGCAAGACCAAAGAGGGGGACCUUCGGGCCUCUUGCCAUCGGAUGUGCCCAGAUGGGAUUAGCUUGUUGGUGGGGUAACGGCUAACCAAGGCGACGAUCCCUAGCUGGUCUGCGAGGAUGACCAGCCACACUGGAACUGAGACACGGUCCAGACUCCUACGGGAGGCAGCAGUGGGGAAUAUUGCACAAUGGGCGCAAGCCUGAUGCAGCCAUGCCGCGUGUAUGAAGAAGGCCUUCGGGUUGUAAAGUACUUUCAGCGGGGAGGAAGGGAGUAAAGUUAAUACCUUUGCUCAUUGACGUUACCCGCAGAAGAAGCACCGGCUAACUCCGUGCCAGCCGCCGCGGUAA
rnacentral:rRNA from 1 species